UUAAGCGACUAAGCGUACACGGUGGAUGCCCUGGCAGUCAGAGGCGAUGAAGGACGUGCUAAUCUGCGAAAAGCGUCGGUAAGGUGAUAUGAACCGUUACAGCCGGCGAUGUCCGAAUGGGGAAACCCAGUGCAAUUGUUGCACUAUCGUUAACUGAAUACAUAGGUUAACGAGGCGAACCGGGGAACUGAAACAUCUAAGUACCCCGAGGAAAAGAAAUCAACCGAGAUUCCCCAGUAGCGGCGAGCGAACGGGAGCAGCCCAGAGUCUGAAUCAGCUUGUGUGUUAGUGGAACGGUCUGGAAAGUCCGACGGUACAGGGUGAUAGUCCCGUACACCAAAAUGCACAGGUUGUGAACUCGAAGAGUAGGGCGGGACACGUGGUAUCCUGUCUGAAUAUGGGGGACCAUCCUCCAAGGCUAAAUACCUGACUGACCGAUAGUGAACCAGUACCGUGAGGAAAGGCGAAAAGAACCCCGGCGAGGGAGUGAAAAGAACCUGAAACCGUGUACGUACAAGCAGUGGGAGCACCUUCGGGUGACUGCGUACCUUUGUAUAAUGGGUCAGCGACUUAUAUUCUGUAGCAAGGUUAACCGUAUAGGGAGCCGCAGGAAACCGAGUCUUAACUGGGCGUUAAGUUGCAGGGUAUAGACCCGAAACCCGUGAUCUAGCCAUGGGCAGGUUGAAGGUUGGGUAACACUAACUGGAGGACCGAACCGACUAAUGUUGAAAAUUAGCGGAUGACUUGUGGCUGGGGUGAAAGGCCAAUCAAACCGGAGAUAGCUGGUUCUCCCGAAAGCUAUUUAGGUAGCGCCUCGUGAACUCAUCUUCGGGGGUAGAGCACUGUUUCGGCUAGGGGGUCAUCCCGACUUACCAACCCGAUGCAAACUACGAAUACCGAAGAAUGUUAUCACGGGAGACACACGGCGGGUGCUAACGUCCGUCGUGAAGAGGGAAACAACCCAGACCGCCAGCUAAGGUCCCAAAGUCAUGGUUAAGUGGGAAACGAUGUGGGAAGGCACAGACAGCCAGGAUGUUGGCUUAGAAGCAGCCAUCAUUUAAAGAAAGCGUAAUAGCUCACUGGUCGAGUCGGCCUGCGCGGAAGAUGUAACGGGGCUAAACCAUGCACCGAAGCUGCGGCAGCGACACUAUGUGUUGUUGGGUAGGGGAGCGUUCUGUAAGCCUGCGAAGGUGUGCUGUGAGGCAUGCUGGAGGUAUCAGAAGUGCGAAUGCUGACAUAAGUAACGAUAAAGCGGGUGAAAAGCCCGCUCGCCGGAAGACCAAGGGUUCCUGUCCAACGUUAAUCGGGGCAGGGUGAGUCGACCCCUAAGGCGAGGCCGAAAGGCGUAGUCGAUGGGAAACAGGUUAAUAUUCCUGUACUUGGUGUUACUGCGAAGGGGGGACGGAGAAGGCUAUGUUAGCCGGGCGACGGUUGUCCCGGUUUAAGCAUGUAGGCUGGUUAUCCAGGCAAAUCCGGAUAAUCAAGGCUGAGGUGUGAUGACGAGGCACUACGGUGCUGAAGUAACAAAUGCCCUGCUUCCAGGAAAAGCCUCUAAGCAUCAGGUAACAUCAAAUCGUACCCCAAACCGACACAGGUGGUCAGGUAGAGAAUACCAAGGCGCUUGAGAGAACUCGGGUGAAGGAACUAGGCAAAAUGGUGCCGUAACUUCGGGAGAAGGCACGCUGGUGUGUAGGUGAAGUCCCUGCGGAUGGAGCUGAGACCAGUCGAAGAUACCAGCUGGCUGCAACUGUUUAUUAAAAACACAGCACUGUGCAAACACGAAAGUGGACGUAUACGGUGUGACGCCUGCCCGGUGCCGGAAGGUUAAUUGAUGGGGUUAUCCGUAAGGAGAAGCUCUUGAUCGAAGCCCCGGUAAACGGCGGCCGUAACUAUAACGGUCCUAAGGUAGCGAAAUUCCUUGUCGGGUAAGUUCCGACCUGCACGAAUGGCGUAAUGAUGGCCAGGCUGUCUCCACCCGAGACUCAGUGAAAUUGAACUCGCUGUGAAGAUGCAGUGUACCCGCGGCAAGACGGAAAGACCCCGUGAACCUUUACUAUAGCUUGACACUGAACAUUGAGCCUUGAUGUGUAGGAUAGGUGGGAGGCUUUGAAGCGUGGACGCCAGUCUGCGUGGAGCCAACCUUGAAAUACCACCCUUUAAUGUUUGAUGUUCUAACGUUGGCCCCUGACCGGGGUUGCGGACAGUGUCUGGUGGGUAGUUUGACUGGGGCGGUCUCCUCCCAAAGCGUAACGGAGGAGCACGAAGGUUAGCUAAUCCUGGUCGGACAUCAGGAGGUUAGUGCAAUGGCAUAAGCUAGCUUGACUGCGAGCGUGACGGCGCGAGCAGGUGCGAAAGCAGGUCAUAGUGAUCCGGUGGUUCUGAAUGGAAGGGCCAUCGCUCAACGGAUAAAAGGUACUCCGGGGAUAACAGGCUGAUACCGCCCAAGAGUUCAUAUCGACGGCGGUGUUUGGCACCUCGAUGUCGGCUCAUCACAUCCCGGGCUGAAGUAGGUCCCAAGGGUAUGGCUGUUCGCCAUUUAAAGUGGUACGCGAGCUGGGUUUAGAACGUCGUGAGACAGUUCGGUCCCUAUCUGCCGUGGGCGCUGGAGAAUUGAGGGGGGCUGCUCCUAGUACGAGAGGACCGGAGUGGACGCAUCACUGGUGUUCGGGUUGUCAUGCCAAUGGCACUGCCCGGUAGCUAAAUGCGGAAGAGAUAAGUGCUGAAAGCAUCUAAGCACGAAACUUGCCCGAGAUGAGUUCUCCUGAGACUAUAAGUCUCCUGAAGGAACGUUAAAGACGAUGACGUUGAUAGGCCGGGUGUGUAAGCGCAGCGAUGUUGAGCUAACCGGUACUAAUGAACCGUGAGGCUUAACCU
rnacentral:rRNA from 1 species